rfam:Schistosoma curassoni strain Dakar, Senegal genome assembly, scaffold: SCTD_scaffold0001553
AUCCAGCUGAUGAGUCCCAAGUAGGACGAAAUGAGUGUCCUGAAU